GACGACAGCUGGCGGCGUGCUUAACACAUGCAAGUCGAACGAAGUGGCGAACGGGUGAGUAAUACGUGGGUAACCUGCCCUCCUGUUUGGGAUAAGCCUUGGAAACGGGGUCAAAUACGGAAAAAAGGGGGAUGGGCUCGCAGCGUAUGAGCUUGUUGGUUGGGUGAGGGCCUACCAAGGCGGUGAUCGGUAGCCGGCCUGAGAGUGUGACCUGCCACAUUGGGACUGAGAAACGGCCCAGCUUCCGACGGGAGGCAGCAUGGUGGGAUAUUGCACAAUGGGCUAAAGACAGAUGCAGCGACGCCGCGUGGGGUAUGAAGGCUUUCGGGUUGUAAACCUCUUUCGCUAUCUAACGGGUAGGUAGACACGAAGCGCCGGCUAACUACGUGCCAGCCGCCGCGGUAAUUC
rnacentral:rRNA from 1 species